GCUAUAAGUGAAAUGGCGAAACAAAUUGGCAAAUUGCUGAUUUGCUGCUAAUUUCUACUUCUAUUCCUGUAAUUUCAAAUACCGAAUUUAACUUCAUAAGUUCAUAUCUAAUAUCAGCAUAGCCUACUGUCAGUCAUUCCAACAAGUUGACUAGUAGCGCUGAGUCAAUUUCCAUCCAUUAGAUCCUCAUGCUGUCAAAAGCCUAAAACUCAUGUUUGAAGCCCAGAUAUUGUGGAAUACAAAAUAUGUAUCGAGAUAAGAUAUUUCCCCAUGACUGACACUACCAGACCAUUACAAUUCAGAUUUUCAUAAACAUAGAAGGCAACCGGCAACCCAGCUUAGAUCUUAGCUGGGUUGCCUUCUAAACCCAACCCGAGUUUGAUAUAGUUUCAUUUCUUAUAG